AACGAACGCUGGCGGCAUGCCUAACACAUGCAAGUCGAACGAGACCUUCGGGUCUAGUGGCGCACGGGUGCGUAACGCGUGGGAACCUGCCCUUAGGUUCGGAAUACCUCCCCGAAAGGGGUGCUAAUACCGGAUAAUGUCUUCGGACCAAAGAUUUAUCGCCUUUGGAUGGGCCCGCGUUGGAUUCGCUAGUUGGUAGGGUAAAAGCCUACCAAGGCGACGAUCCAUAGCUGGUCUGAGAGGAUGAUCAGCCACACUGGGACUGAGACACGGCCCAGACUCCUACGGGAGGCAGCAGUGGGGAAUAUUGGACAAUGGGGGAAAGCCUGAUCCAGCAAUGCCGCGUGAGUGAUAAAGGCCUUAGGGUUGUAAAGCUCUUUUACCCGGGAUGAUAAUGACAGUACCGGGAGAAUAAGCUCCGGCUAACUCCGUG
rnacentral:rRNA from 1 species